UACGGGCGGAGCGAGCGUUGUUCGGAUUCAUUGGGUGUAAAGGGUGCGAAGGCGGUCGUCUAAGUCGGAGGUGAAAUGUCUACGGCUCAACCGAGGCAUUGCCUCCGAUACUGGACGACUUGAGUGCGGAAGGGGAGCAUGGAAUUCCUGGUGUAGCGGUGAAAUGCGUAGAUAUCAGGAGGAACACCGGUGGCGAAGGCGACGCUCUGGUCCGCAACUGACGCUCAUGCACGAAAGCCAGGGGAGCGAACGGG
rnacentral:rRNA from 1 species